rnacentral:rRNA from 1 species
CAGCCGCCACGGUAAUACGUAGGGUGCAAGCGUUAAUCGGAAUUACUGGGCGUAAAGCGUGCGCAGGCGGUUAUAUAAGACAGAUGUGAAAUCCCCGGGCUCAACCUGGGAACUGCAUUUGUGACUGUAUAGCUAGAGUACGGCAGAGGGGGAUGGAAUUCCGCGUGUAGCAGUGAAAUGCGUAGAUAUGCGGAGGAACACCGAUGGCGAAGGCAAUCCCCUGGGCCUGUACUGACGCUCAUGCACGAAAGCGUGGGGAGCAAACAGGAUUAGAUACCCGCGUAGUCCCUGUCUCUUAUAU